GAUGAACGCUGGCGGCGUGCCUAAUACAUGCAAGUCGAGCGAACAGACGAGGAGCUUGCUCCUCUGACGUUAGCGGCGGACGGGUGAGUAACACGUGGAUAACCUACCUAUAGGACUGGGAUAACUUCGGGAAACCGGAGCUAAUACCGGAUAAUAUAUUGAACCGCAUGGUUCAAUAGUGAAAGACGGUUUUGCUGUCACUUAUAGAUGGAUCCGCGCCGCAUUAGCUAGUUGGUAAGGUAACGGCUUACCAAGGCAACGAUGCGUAGCCGACCUGAGAGGGUGAUCGGCCACACUGGGACUGAGACACGGUCCAGACUCCUACGGGAGGCAGCAGUAGGGAAUCUUCCGCAAUGGGCGAAGGCCUGACGGAGCAACGCCGCGUGAGUGAUGAAGGUCUUCGGAUCGUAAAACUCUGUUAUUAGGGAAGAACAAAUGUGUAAGUAACUAUGCACGUCUUGACGGUACCUAAUCAGAAAGCCACGGCUAACUACGUG
rnacentral:rRNA from 1 species